CCUACGGGAGGCAGCAGUAGGGAAUAUUGCUCAAUGGGGGAAACCCUGAAGCAGCAACGCCGCGUGGAGGAUGAAGGUUUUCGGAUUGUAAACUCCUUUUGUUAGAGAAGAUAAUGACGGUAUCUAACGAAUAAGCACCGGCUAACUCCGUGCCAGCAGCCGCGGUAAUACGGAGGGUGCAAGCGUUACUCGGAAUCACUGGGCGUAAAGGGCGCGUAGGCGGGAUAGCAAGUCAGAUGUUAAAUCCUAUGGCUUAACCAUAGAACUGCAUUUGAAACUGUUAUUCUAGAGUAUGGGAGAGGUAGGUGGAAUUCUUGGUGUAGGGGUAAAAUCCGUAGAGAUCAAGAGGAAUACUCAUUGCGAAGGCGACCUGCUAGAACAUAACUGACGCUGAUGCGCGAAAGCGUGGGGAGCAAACAGGAUUAGAUACCCGGGUAGUC
rnacentral:rRNA from 1 species